CUCAGGGGUAGAACACUCUCCUAGCAUGUGUGGGUGCUAGGUUCAAUCCUGAGCACCACAAAAAUAAAAAAUAAAGAUAUUGUGUCUACCUAUAACUAAAAAAAAAAUGUUAAAAAAGUAACUUAUCUACUGGCUUAGGCACUUUAUAUGAAUGUAAAACAAGUAAGUUUUAUGAAAUGGAUUGGCUCUCUUUUUCUACAUAUAUGUAGAAAGAAACAAUGUUAAUAAAACUAAAGAAAUUUUAAAAGGGGGAUGGAUAGCAAAGAGUUUGUUUAGAUAAAAUUAUUUGGCAGUAACGUAGUUCCUGCAUGCUGUGAGUUGGACAUUAUUAAUGUGUUGGAGCACUCACGGACUCUAUCCUUGCCCUCUUCCUCUUGACCAGCAAGUGUCUUGUUGAGUUUUAUGGGAAUGUGAGAAAAGAACACUUUUACUUGACAUCAGUCGUCUUUUAAAUAUUUUGUGUCAUUCUUCCUAUCUGAAAAAAUCAAACUACACGUGUCUUGAUUGCUGUUCCUCUCAACAGAUAUGUAUUCCUAAAUUCCCUGAAGGCUGACUUCUGUCUCCUGUGCUGACAUUUUUAUUUGGAAGAUGAUCAAUCUUCCUUUUAGCUAAAAACAACUUUUUAGCCAUAUUUUAUAUAAUGCAUGUGUACCUACAUAUGAAGCUGUCUCCCACUUUCUAUACAGAAUAUCUCAAUAUAUUUUAGCUCAUAUUGGAUUUAUGAACUUAAAUGUGCUUGAAAUAUUACUUGACAUCUUAUUAUGUUUAGUAUAAUAUAUUUAAAGCAAUGUUAUAUAAAAUAGUAACUUAAAGGUACUAAGAGGGAUUUUUCCCCAUUCUAAUUAAUGAAAUAAUUUUAUUUCAAAAUAAAAUUUGACUUCUUUAUUUCUGAAAAAUAAUGUUGAGCCACUUUAAAUACUCAUGCUACUGGAUCCUGCAGUGGCCCACCCCUCUGCUGAGGUCUUCUGUCAUUGUCUCUCUGACACAGUGUUUUACAUGGUGUCUCCUGCUCCUCUUUCAUGUGCUUGUUUGAGUAUCAGGGCACAGAAUUCCUACAGCUCUUUCAUUCAUUCUUUGAGACAGUUCCUCUUAACCCUUGCCCCUUUGCUUUUCUCCAUCAUUCCCACUUCUCCACAGCUCACAUUUCCAGCCACACCACAAUGUGUUUCCAUCCUAAAGCUGAAACAACUGGAGUUGAAAUUGUCUGUGACAUUGUCAUCCUAAAUUCAGAUGUUUUAUAAUUGUAUGUUUAUUCUUCAUUGUUGAAUAAAAGUGACAACUUUCAGAUUUGAAAUACAAAGUAAAAUACCAAAAACAAUCUGUUUAUAGUAGUCUUGUAGAUAUCAGUCAAAACUCAAACCCCAGGACUGGGGUUGUGGUUCAGAGGUAGAACACUCACCUGGUGUGCAUGAGGCAAUAGGUUCAAUCCUCAGCACCACAUGAAAAUAAAAUAAAGAUAUUGUGUACACAUACAACUAAAAAUACAUGUUUAUGAAAAAAAUUCCAGGUACCUCAUGCCUUGGUGAUCUGUUUGUACCAUGAGUAGUAACACAAAGAACAUUUGGAUUGUAGAUAAGUUGAAUCAGACUGUAAAAGUAAAUCUUAAUAUGAAAAUGUAUUUAGUCAUUACUAUUUAUUUUUGUCUUCAAAAUGCAUACCUAAGUUAUUUUUUUUUUCUUUUAUAGGCAUCAGCUCUCCACAGGCUUUAAAGAAAUUUCUUUCCCUGACUGAGGAAGGAACUUUGGAAUGUCACAAGAAUCCAGCUGAUGAUAAAAUACCAAAGGCACCUUCGCAGCUGUCUCCUCCAACUUCCCCAGAGUUCUCCAAGGAAAGGUAGAACUAAAUGAGUUGUUCUUUUCCUUUAUCAAAAUAUAUACUUUUCAGUUUUAGUAAAUUUUAGAAUUAUUAUAUUGUAUCAUAUUAUAGAAUUUUAACAUUAUAAUAAUUUUAAUUAUCUCUUUUAUGAUGCUCAAUGGGUUUUUUGCCCUCUGUGAAUAGACUUGGAAUUUUUUUGUAUUUCUUUUUAUUGUUCUUAUACUUAAUAGAAUUAAAUUAAUAAAUAUAAAAUCAUUCUAAAAUUUAAGGUUUAUAUUGGCCCUGUGUAUAAAAGAUACUCUUUAUGUGAAAGUUACUUAUAACUAAUAUUGAUCAAAAAACAUUAAUACAGAAAAAGAGCUCCUUGGAAACAAAAAAAAUACUGAUGUUCCUAAUUUAUAUUUCCACUGUGUUAAUAUGGGUCUUGUGUUUUAGGCAAUCUAAAUAUUCUCCUUAUAUGGAUACUUUCUUAUGUUAAAAUAGAUGAUAAUUCUCUUCCCCAUAACUCUCCAUGUUCCUGCCUCCUCCUGCACUUUAAUUGAAAGGGUGGGUGUCAAUCAUUAGUAAAAGAGCUAAGAAUUAGUUUUCUUUUGAGGAAGAUCUAAAAGGUUAAUCAAUUAUUAGAUUUCACUCACUCAACAAAUGACUGCUUUUCUUUGUAUACAUUUCAGGCAUCUGUGCAUUUUGUGUGGGUGUCAGUUCUAGGCCCUUGUUAAAUGGUGGAUACGUCUCAAUUCAUUUCUCAUCCAGUUGUUAGGUGGUAGUGGAAGUCAGCUAAGAUGUUCUGGCUCUGGUAUUAACCAGUACCUCCUCUUCUCUUGAGAGUGAAAACAGUAAUUAGAAAACCAAGGCACCACUGACCCAUAGGAUGAUUCCUUUCUUUCCCACCCCAGUUUUGCUUCAUCUCAAUAAAUGAAGGAAAUGGGAGUAUUCCUCCAAUGCCAGGUGCUCCAUCUGAGUGAUGAUUUUUCUAAGCAGUGUUUUCUUUCUUAUUGUUUUUUUUUGUUUUGCUUUUGGUUUGGGUUUGGUUUUUUACCAAAAUUUCAGGGAGGGAUUUAAAUCUUUCUUAUUAGAAUUUGUAGUUUUUGUUUAUAAAAAGAUAUUUCAUAUAAGAAUAUGUUAAAUCUUUUAAACCCAGGUGUAAACUCUAAAUGAGUAAGUACAUAUUUAUUAUAUAGUUGGAAACAUACUUCAGUUAGGGGCACUUACAAUACAUAUAUAUAUAUAUAUAUAUAUAUAUAUAUAUAUAUAUAUAUAUUCUAAAUAUUUAUACAUAAAAAUAUUAUAUUUAGGAUAUAUAUCUACUGUGGUGUCCUUAAUACAUUAUAGAAAAGAAAAAAGUAAAUCCUGAGAAAGUUUGCUUUUCUUUUCUAUUAAACACAUAAAGACAAGCCUCUCCUUGAGAUUUUCAGAAUUAUUUUAGUAACAAAGGAGAUUUAAGGACAUGGUGAACCUGGAGAAUUAUGUGGAAGAAAAUUAACUAUUUUAAUAUAAGAAUGAAUCCAUAGAAGGAAAAGAUUUUGAUUGCCUAAAAUGUAGUCUCUUUAAAAAUAACAACAAAAAGAUAAUCAAGACUCAUAUUAACAUAAAGAAAAAAUAAAUCUGGAGUAUCAGUAUGUUUAUCAUGUUUUAUGUUUUCAAAGAGCUCUUCUGCAUUAAUGUUGUAUGAUCUGUUUAGGACAGGAAAUGGAGAUGUGUUGAGGCAUUUUACAAUGAUGGUCUUGGGGAAAGUACACAUUGUAUCCUCAACAAUUAGCUUUUCAUGUGAUUCAGCUAACACAUUCUUCACUUAUUUAUGUAUUUGUUUAUUUAGUUGUGAUUGGAAAGAAUACAUUUCUUUUAUUUAUUUAUUUUUAUUUGUGCUGAGGAUUGAACCCAGGGACUCACACGUACUAGGUGAGCACUCUACCACUGAGCCACAACCCCAUCCUGCUAAUACAUCCUUAAUGUUGAAAAAUGAGUAGCGAAAUUCCAAAGAGACACUCUUCAGGUGUUAUUUCUUAUUGUUUUUGAAGACAAUCUUCAGUUGAAUUUUUCUUUGCUGUACUUAUCACUCUAAAAAUUAAAAACAAGAUUAAUGACUUUGAAGUUUGAAAAAAAUCUCACUUUCAAGUCUACUCAGUUGUUUUUAUUUUUUUCCCAAUAUUGGAAUUCAAACCAGGCCAUGGGUAUAUGCUAGGCAAGCACUACUGUGUUUUGUCUCCAGCCCAAUUUCUAUUUUUGGUAGGGAGGGUGAUGUGGAUUGAACUUAGGGGCUUUCAACCACUGAGUCACAUCCACAGUACUAUGUGGUAUUUUAUUUAGAGAUUCACUGAGUGUCUUAGCACAUCACUUUUACUGAGGCUGACUUUGAACUCAUGAUCCUCAAACCUCAGCCUUCAGAGCUGCUGGGAUUGCAGGCGUGUGUCACUGCCCCCAGACAAAGUGUCCCUUUAUGGGUUAUAAUAGUAGUGUAAUUCAAAGCCAAGGGAGCUAAAAAUACUCAAGUUAUGCCAUGGUUUCUGCAUCACUUCAUAGCUUUUAUGACAGUAUACAUACACUUAUGACAGUAUACACACACACACACACACACAUACAAACACAGAUGUAUGUGUCCCUUUUUAACAUUUAAUUACAUGAUUUAGCUCCAUCAGAUUAAACACUUACUUUAAUGUUGUAUUCACUUUGUUAAUGAAACCCUACUUCAAUGGUGAUAAUCCAUGGCUACUUUCUUUGUUGCUUGUAUUUGGUGGACUUCAUUCUGAUGUUGUGAACCCAGAAUGUCUAACUUAUGUCAUUUUAUUUCUCAUGCAGGUCAUCCUUUGGCUCCCAGUGGUACUGUAUAUAAUUUUUCAGAUUCUGGUCACAGUGAAAUUUCUUCAUGAUCCAGUCUUGUCAGCAAUUCUUCUCUUGACUCUGUGCCCGUCUUGCUCCAGAGGCAUCCUGUCAGUACUGUGGAAACAAACUUCGGUGUGGCAGGACAGAAUGGUGGACCAUGACUAAACCCCAUCUACCUCUGGGGGUAGAUGGAUUUCCUUAGCAUUCUUUCACAUCCCUUCCUCCAAGAUUCUGUUAAGAAGGAGUUGCAUGUGGACUAUUAAGUAUCAUUUUUUGUUGUUGUUGUUGUUAAGCCUACUGCUUGGAAGUUAAGCUUCUAUA
rnacentral:lncRNA from 1 species